UACAGAGGGUGCGAGCGUCAAUCGGAAUUACUGGGCGUAAAGGGCGCGUAGGCGGUUUAAUAGGUGUGAUGUGAAAGCCCUGGGCUUAACCUAGGAAGUGCAUCGCAAACGAUUAAACUGGAGUAGAUGAGAGGGUGGCGGAAUUUCCGGUGUAGCGGUGAAAUGCGUAGAGAUCGGAAGGAACGUCGAUGGCGAAGGCAGCCACCUGGCAUCAUACUGACGCUGAGGCGCGAAAGCGUGGGGAGCGAACAGG
rnacentral:rRNA from 1 species